rnacentral:rRNA from 1 species
GUUAAGCGACUAAGCGUACACGGUGGAUGCCCUGGCAGUCAGAGGCGAUGAAGGACGUGCUAAUCUGCGAUAAGCGUCGGUAAGGUGAUAUGAACCGUUAUAACCGGCGAUUUCCGAAUGGGGAAACCCAGUGUGUUUCGACACACUAUCAUUAACUGAAUCCAUAGGUUAAUGAGGCGAACCGGGGGAACUGAAACAUCUAAGUACCCCGAGGAAAAGAAAUCAACCGAGAUUCCCCCAGUAGCGGCGAGCGAACGGGGAGCAGCCCAGAGCCUGAAUCAGUAUGUGUGUUAGUGGAAGCGUCUGGAAAGGCGCGCGAUACAGGGUGACAGCCCCGUACACAAAAAUGCACAUGCUGUGAGCUCGAUGAGUAGGGCGGGACACGUGGUAUCCUGUCUGAAUAUGGGGGGACCAUCCUCCAAGGCUAAAUACUCCUGACUGACCGAUAGUGAACCAGUACCGUGAGGGAAAGGCGAAAAGAACCCCGGCGAGGGGAGUGAAAAAGAACCUGAAACCGUGUACGUACAAGCAGUGGGAGCACGCUUAGGCGUGUGACUGCGUACCUUUUGUAUAAUGGGUCAGCGACUUAUAUUCUGUAGCAAGGUUAACCGAAUAGGGGAGCCGAAGGGAAACCGAGUCUUAACUGGGCGUUAAGUUGCAGGGUAUAGACCCGAAACCCGGUGAUCUAGCCAUGGGCAGGUUGAAGGUUGGGUAACACUAACUGGAGGACCGAACCGACUAAUGUUGAAAAAUUAGCGGAUGACUUGUGGCUGGGGGUGAAAGGCCAAUCAAACCGGGAGAUAGCUGGUUCUCCCCGAAAGCUAUUUAGGUAGCGCCUCGUGAAUUCAUCUCCGGGGGUAGAGCACUGUUUCGGCAAGGGGGUCAUCCCGACUUACCAACCCGAUGCAAACUGCGAAUACCGGAGAAUGUUAUCACGGGAGACACACGGCGGGUGCUAACGUCCGUCGUGAAGAGGGAAACAACCCAGACCGCCAGCUAAGGUCCCAAAGUCAUGGUUAAGUGGGAAACGAUGUGGGAAGGCCCAGACAGCCAGGAUGUUGGCUUAGAAGCAGCCAUCAUUUAAAGAAAGCGUAAUAGCUCACUGGUCGAGUCGGCCUGCGCGGAAGAUGUAACGGGGCUAAACCAUGCACCGAAGCUGCGGCAGCGACGCUGAUGCGUUGUUGGGUAGGGGAGCGUUCUGUAAGCCUGCGAAGGUGUGCUGUGAGGCAUGCUGGAGGUAUCAGAAGUGCGAAUGCUGACAUAAGUAACGAUAAAGCGGGUGAAAAGCCCGCUCGCCGGAAGACCAAGGGUUCCUGUCCAACGUUAAUCGGGGCAGGGUGAGUCGACCCCUAAGGCGAGGCCGAAAGGCGUAGUCGAUGGGAAACAGGUUAAUAUUCCUGUACUUGGUGUUACUGCGAAGGGGGGACGGAGAAGGCUAUGUUGGCCGGGCGACGGUUGUCCCGGUUUAAGCGUGUAGGCUGGUUUUCCAGGCAAAUCCGGAAAAUCAAGGCUGAGGCGUGAUGACGAGGCACUACGGUGCUGAAGCAACAAAUGCCCUGCUUCCAGGAAAAGCCUCUAAGCAUCAGGUAACAUCAAAUCGUACCCCAAACCGACACAGGUGGUCAGGUAGAGAAUACCAAGGCGCUUGAGAGAACUCGGGUGAAGGAACUAGGCAAAAUGGUGCCGUAACUUCGGGAGAAGGCACGCUGAUAUGUAGGUGAAGUCCCUCGCGGAUGGAGCUGAAAUCAGUCGAAGAUACCAGCUGGCUGCAACUGUUUAUUAAAAACACAGCACUGUGCAAACACGAAAGUGGACGUAUACGGUGUGACGCCUGCCCGGUGCCGGAAGGUUAAUUGAUGGGGUUAGCGCAAGCGAAGCUCUUGAUCGAAGCCCCGGUAAACGGCGGCCGUAACUAUAACGGUCCUAAGGUAGCGAAAUUCCUUGUCGGGUAAGUUCCGACCUGCACGAAUGGCGUAAUGAUGGCCAGGCUGUCUCCACCCGAGACUCAGUGAAAUUGAACUCGCUGUGAAGAUGCAGUGUACCCGCGGCAAGACGGAAAGACCCCGUGAACCUUUACUAUAGCUUGACACUGAACAUUGAGCCUUGAUGUGUAGGAUAGGUGGGAGGCUUUGAAGUGUGGACGCCAGUCUGCAUGGAGCCGACCUUGAAAUACCACCCUUUAAUGUUUGAUGUUCUAACGUUGACCCGUAAUCCGGGUUGCGGACAGUGUCUGGUGGGUAGUUUGACUGGGGCGGUCUCCUCCUAAAGAGUAACGGAGGAGCACGAAGGUUGGCUAAUCCUGGUCGGACAUCAGGAGGUUAGUGCAAUGGCAUAAGCCAGCUUGACUGCGAGCGUGACGGCGCGAGCAGGUGCGAAAGCAGGUCAUAGUGAUCCGGUGGUUCUGAAUGGAAGGGCCAUCGCUCAACGGAUAAAAGGUACUCCGGGGAUAACAGGCUGAUACCGCCCAAGAGUUCAUAUCGACGGCGGUGUUUGGCACCUCGAUGUCGGCUCAUCACAUCCUGGGGCUGAAGUAGGUCCCAAGGGUAUGGCUGUUCGCCAUUUAAAGUGGUACGCGAGCUGGGUUUAGAACGUCGUGAGACAGUUCGGUCCCUAUCUGCCGUGGGCGCUGGAGAACUGAGGGGGGCUGCUCCUAGUACGAGAGGACCGGAGUGGACGCAUCACUGGUGUUCGGGUUGUCAUGCCAAUGGCACUGCCCGGUAGCUAAAUGCGGAAGAGAUAAGUGCUGAAAGCAUCUAAGCACGAAACUUGCCCCGAGAUGAGUUCUCCCUGACUCCUUGAGAGUCCUGAAGGAACGUUGAAGACGACGACGUUGAUAGGCCGGGUGUGUAAGCGCAGCGAUGCGUUGAGCUAACCGGUACUAAUGAACCGUGAGGCUUAACCUUACAACGCCGAAGCUGUU